rnacentral:lncRNA from 1 species
UGGGAGGAAUGAGAUGUGCCAGCGGCCACCUCUUACAAGGUCGGCAGAAGUGUGACCCCCAUGAAGGAGCACUAUAAAAGGAUCAACAGAUCAGCCAUGAAAUGAGUGUCUCUGGAACAUUCUAUGAAACUAUGAAAAAGAGAAGAAAACACAUAGACGGGUCAGUCCUCCAGAAGGCCAGUGCUCGUAGCUUACCUGGAAGGAAGGCCUGCUGCCUAGCUCAUAGGAUGUCUUCCACAUGACUUUAGGAAUUGCUGAAAUAAUUAUGGCUUUAAGAAAUAUCAAAUGAGCCAGGCAGUGGUGGCACACGCCUUUAAUCCCA